GACAGAGGGUGCAAACGUUGCUCGGAAUUACUGGGCGUAAAGCGCGUGUAGGCGGACCGGGAAGUCAGGUGUGAAAUCCCUGGGCUCAACUCAGGAACUGCAUUUGAAACUUCCGGUCUGGAGGAAUGGAGAGGGAAGCGGAAUUCCUGGUGUAGAGGUGAAAUUCGUAGAUAUCAGGAGGAACACCGGUGGCGAAGGCGGCUUCCUGGACAUUUCUGACGCUGAGACGCGAAGCGUGGGGAGCAAACGGG
rnacentral:rRNA from 1 species